UUAACUGUUUUAAUGUAUUAUAUGCAUUAUUAUUAGUUAGUUGACACAAUUGGGAGAGCACGUUUUUGCAGCUGCAUGAACACAAGAAUGGGAGAUUAACCUGUAAUGAUAAGGAGGAUAUGUGACUUUAUUUUUCUUAUAUUGCAAGCAUAUACCUUUCACUUUUUUUUUAGUCUGCUUUUAUUUUUAUGGAUUAUUUAGUUUUUAUACAUUGUCCAUAUUCAAUAAACUAUUUUAAAGAGAAAAAGUUAUUGCUUCCAAAUCCCUUUUUUUAUUGUAUUCUCAGCUAUUUAUGAUAUAUAAAUAGAUAAAUCUGACUAUCUAUUUACAAAGAUAAGGUCAGUCCUGCUAAAUUCUGAGCAAUUAAGAUGUUGUAGAAGUAAUAGGAUACUGUUGUACUCAGGAGACUUUGCGGAAACACCGAUAUGAGCAUUUUAAAAACAUUAAAAUAUAUCAUGACAAUGAUAUUAUCAAAGAAAAAUGCAAAAAAAAAAAAUAUAAAAAGUAACUUUGGCCAGGGUUUGUAGCUAAGUGGCUACUAAAAAGUCUGGACAUACUCCUCUUUGAACACCUUUGCUUGUCUUCUUUUGCAAAUGGUAUGCCAUGAUGGGGGUAAUUUUCAUUCCUGGUAUGCCAUACGGUCUCUAAGC